AAAAACCUCUUGUCUAGCGACCGGGAAAGUCGCCGAAUGUGCCGCCGCCUCACCCUUUUAUACACAGAACGGCGAUUGUCCAUGGAGCACUUUGAUUGGCUCAAGCACAGUUUGCGCAAAUGGCCAAUAGGACAGCUCCGCCAGAAUCCACUCAUUUACAUAAUCUCGUCUCCCUGGCGUUGGGCGCCGCGGAAAACUCGCGAAGCACAACGCAGCGUCUUGGGAGCUUUCAUGUGCGCUCAAGGCUCCCUAAGUGCAAGUGCAUCGUGGCUUCCGGUGGAACCCGGUCCCGCGGCGCGGCGGUGCUUGCGUCCUUGGGGGGCUGUGUCGCCAGUGCGUCGGGCCGUGCCCGAGCCUGCAAAGUCCGCCCCGCCUCCCAAGGUCACCAAAGUGCAGAAGAAGGACCGCAAGAAGCGCAAGCGCAGCCGCAGGGAGAGCUGCUCCGUGUGGGUCCGCCCGACACCGGCAUCUCGUCCCAGGCCGUGGGCAUCUUGAACUCUUUCCUCAACGACAUCUCUGAGCGCAUCGCGUCGGAGGCGUCCUUGCCCGGCGCACUACAACAAGGGCUCCACCGUCACAUCGCGCGAGAUCCAGACCGCCGAGGGCUUGCUGCUGCCCGGCCCGCUGGCCAAGCACGGCGUGUCCGAGGGCACCAAGGCGCUCACCGAGUACGCCAGCUCCAAG